CUGGAAUGUGUUUGAUGACCAACUCAGCGUGGUGUGUGACAGGAUGUGGCCAUUCAAAACAAAACCUUUUACAGAAGCAUGUUAAAACUUUGCUAGGUCUUUUCUCUUCUCUGGAAGGUUAAAGCCUGGGGUUUCAACUGUGCACUUCAGCCUUUGGACAUAUCCAAGAAGCUAUUUUCUGAGACAAGUCUGGGGCCUGCUUUCCAGUUCUCUUCUAAUCUGUUCUCGGUGGAGAUGAGAUGACCUUCCAUCCAGGUGUUCACAGCUGCACAUUUCCCCCUAGGCUCUGCAGUAGCUUCACCAUGUGCAGGCAUCAGGCAGAGGGGCCAGAACAUCAGCUGGACCCUGAGGCUGGGCUGGAGGAUGGCCUUGGACCCGCAUCUCUCCUGAGCUAGGCAGGCUCAUUCACCCACACCCCGGUCCCUCGGGCACAGUCCGCCAUGUGGCCCCAACCGCAGAGGCAGAGCCUGCCCCAGCAGGAGACCCCUGGAGUCUGGAGUGGAAGCCCCGUGCUUGUGGGAGCUUGAGCCGUGGAGAGCAUCUCCUCCCACGUACUGCCCUCUGAGGCCGAGCUCCGGCCCCUCCUGCCCGGCCUGCUGAUGUCCACUGACUGGACCACCGGUCUCCGGGAGCUGCUUUGAGGCUUGAUGACCCUUCAGAGCAGGGCGUUCUCCCCACUCGGCUGAACUCACAUUGGUUUUUAUCGCAUCCUGGUUUCACAGCGGAAGCAGCCUAGCAGGGCGGUCAAGACUACAGCAGGUGCUGGGAAGACAGGGUGAAGGAGAAAGGCAGCCGCUCGGGCGGACGCUCGAAGGAAGGAAAGCCUUCCCUGCUCGGCAGCCCGAGCAUCACAGCUGCAGCGCAGACGGUCCCCAUUCAAGAGCAUGCAAUAAUUGUGUCUGAGAAGUUCGAGACGUGUAGAAAUGAUAGUCGAGCAUUGGAAGAGAGAGGAAAUAGACCAUGAGAGCAAAAUGACCAACUUGCUGAAGACAGACCGAUAGCAUGCAGAAAAGAGGAGAAAGACGGGACAGGAGAAAAGUGAAUACUGCAGGAUCCGUCAAACUGCAGAUGCCGAUGGGGAUCAUCCACAAGCGCUGGGGACCGCAGGCUCUGAGACGGGAAACUCGGAACUCACGCAUUCGCAGAGCGAGCCAUGGGGAGGCUCUGACACCUCCUGAAUAAAUACAGCGGUGCUUUACUACCAAUCAUGGGGGCGUUCUACCAAGCCAGAUGCCACACCUGAUACAGCCAGUUAUUGUUGUUAUUGUCGUUACUACAACUGCUACCUCGAGAAGUUUGGGGUCUAAUAAGGAAAACAUACGUAAACACAUAAAAAGAAUCCAGGCCAUUCAUUAGUAUAAGAGAUGUUUGAAUAAUGGACUAUGUGAUGCAUAAGAGGAAAUAUCACUUGGGCAUCAGGGAAGGUUCUGGAGAACAGGGGACAUCUGAGCUGUGUCUUGAAGCGUAAGUAGGAGUUCAUGAGGUAGAAAGGGGAGAAGUGCAUUCUGGGUAGAGGGAGCCGCAUGUACUCAGUCUCAGGGCGUGGAAGUACUUGGCAGGUCUUGGAGAGUAAAGGGUUUCAUGUUGAGAGAAAGGAGAGCGUGUGAGUCAGAUAGAGAAGAAAGCUAGUAAAGCCGCUCGUAAAAAGGCCACUGUGCCGUGCUGGGGCAUUCGGACUGCGCCCUGUUGGCAGUGAAGAGCUGUGCUGAAGCUUUUAGGCAGGGCGGUGACAGGAUUGCCACGGGCACUGGCUAACUUCUAAAUGCAGAGUCUUGCCCAGGCAAGUGGGGCUGGCACGGUUGCCCUCGAUGGACUUGCGUCACUUUGGGCCCCAGUCUCUGGUCACCCGUGUUCAGGAGAGGGUUCUAAGCUGC
rnacentral:lncRNA from 1 species